rnacentral:lncRNA from 1 species
CUGGCUUUUAAAGUUUAACACGAUUGAUUGUCUGUCGAUGUCACAAUUUAAAACACAUAUCUUCAGCUUCUGUGAUCAGAAUCUCUUUGAGCAGCUCUAACAUCUGGAGAUACACGAUGGUGUGAGUUUGUAGGAUAUCAUUUCAGAGGAAGGAGCUGAUCAAGUGAACCCUUCUUUUGUCUUCCGGCGUCUGAAACUCUUGAGAUUGCCGUACCUUAGAUGUUUAUACCCUGGAAUGCAUACUUCGGAAUGGCCGUCGCUAAGUACUUUGCAGGUGUGUAGCUGUGACAAACUGAAGGCAUUCGCUUCAGAAUUAUCUAGCUCCAGCAGAAAUAAUGAUGAGAAGAAUAUGUUCCAUAUCCCAGUGCUACAGCCCCUGUUCUUGUGCGGAAAGGUAUGAAACUAUUUUGUUAAGCGUUUUUAUCAGUUCCUUCUUGUUUCUUAAAAUAACUCAAAGUAGAAUUUGUAACGCCUUCAAAAAUUUUC